rfam:Paenibacillus sp. HGF7 contig00229, whole genome shotgun sequence.
AAAAUCCUGCGAUGUACGUUUCGGUUUCUUUUGUUUUAAACCAAUGAUUGUUUCUCGGGAAAUCCAUAUUGAAGCGCGGCUGACAUGCCCCCGAAAAGGGACUUCAAAAACGUUUCUGCGAUCACCCACCUGCUAAAGCAGGUUUGAAACUAUUAAACCGGACGGCAUUUGCGGGUUUUCU